UACGAAGGGGGCUAGCGUUGCUCGGAAUUACUGGGCGUAAAGGGCGCGUAGGCGGCGACUCAAGUUAGAUGUGAAAGUCCUGGGCUUAACCUGGGGACUGCAUUUGAUACUGGGUUGCUUGAAUUCGGGAGAGGAUAGCGGAAUUCCCAGUGUAGAGGUGAAAUUCGUAGAUAUUGGGAAGAACACCGGUGGCGAAGGCGGCUAUCUGGACCGACAUUGACGCUGAGGCGCGAAAGCGUGGGGAGCAAACAGG
rnacentral:rRNA from 1 species